GACGAACGCUGGCGGCGUGCUUAACACAUGCAAGUCGAACGGAAAGGCCCCUUUGGGGGUACUCGAGUGGCGAACGGGUGAGUAACACGUGAGUAACCUGCCCUUGAAUUCGGGAUAACUUCAGGAAACUGGGGCCAAUACCGGAUAGGAAUCCUUGCUGCAUGGUGGGGGUUGGUAAGCCUCGGCGGGUUUGGAUGGACUCGCGGCUUAUCAGCUUGUUGGUGGGGUAGUGGCUUACCAAGGCGUUGACGGGUAGCCGGCCUGAGAGGGCGACCGGCCACAUUGGGACUGAGAGACGGCCCAGACGCCUACGGGAGGCAGCAGUGGGGAAGAUUGCACAAGGGGCGGAAGGCUGAUGCAGCAACGCCGCGGGCGGGAUGACGGCCUUCGUGUUGUGAACCGCUUUCAGCAGGGGCGAAGCUUGUGGUGACGGUACCUGCAGAAGAAGCACCGGCUAACUACGUG
rnacentral:rRNA from 1 species